rnacentral:lncRNA from 1 species
ACCUAGAGUAGUGGUUUCCCCAUAAUAUUGUUUCUGCAUCACCUAGAGCAGUGGUUUCCCCAUAAUAUUGUUUCUGCAUCACCUAGAGCAGUGGUUUCCCCAUAAUAUUGUUUCUGCAUCACCUAGAGUAGUGGUUUCCCCAUAAUAUUGUUUCUGCAUCACCUAGAGUAGUGGUUUCCCCUUAAAGUUGUUUCUGCAUUGUGACCUACCUGCCACCUCCACACACAUCACCUAGACCAUUUAUGAGAUUUGCUUGUUUUCCCCAAGAAAUGUGUUAUUGAUUUCAAUGAAAAUGCUUCUUACCACGUAUAUGUACUGAUUAAACAGUCUGUUUUCUAUGAAACUGAGAAAUGUACAUACACCGCUUAUGAAGUACCACUGUUUUCUUAUAGCACUAGAGGGCAGUAACAACAUACGGUAGGCUACAUCAUGGGAUUUGUCUCAGUUAUCUCGUUAUUACUGGCACUGUUUUAUUACUAGUAAUAAUAAAAGGACAUAUAGUCAUUGAUAAACAGCUACACAAUCCAUUAUAAUGUUACACAUAAUAUACGUAUAAACAUAGAAAUAUACUUGUAUAUUUAUCCUAUCGUUGCUUUCGAAUGAAAACCUCGUAACUUCGUAACCAUUCAUUUUUUCCGUUGUGCGUUGACAUUUUUACAUGCAUCGACUCUAGGGCAAAGGAAAUGUAUUCAAAAUAGCUUCUGAAGUUUCUUAAUUGUAUGUUUGCUAAUGGUAAAGUAUGGCUGUUUUCUGUUUUGGAGGUAAGAGGUUUUUUCAUCCAACACAGACACUAUGUAGGUAAAAUUUCUGUCAUGAUUCUCUCUGUUGAAUGUAGAGCUGAAAUGAUUAAUAAAUUAGGCCAAUUAAUCAAAUAAUACUUUUGAUAUAGUCUCUUUGUGUAUUUAUGUAGUUUUUGUCAUUGUUAUGUAAAUUCUAGUUUGAAAAGAUGAUGUAUUUCUUUUUUGGAACAUGAAGCUUAUUAUGUUGCCACAGUGAUCAGUCAUUUGUGUUUGGGAUGUGUCAAAUGGCAUUAUAUUCCCUAUAUAGUGCACUACCCAUCGUGCUAUUCGGAAUACAACCUGGGUCUUUCACAGUCAGAGCAGCGAUGCAAAAGUACACAACAGAACUCCUCAACGAGCC